CCUACGGGAGGCAGCAGUGGGGAAUAUUGGGCAAUGGACGCACGUCUGACCCAGCAACGCCGCGUGAAGGAAGAAUGCCUUCGGGUUGUAAACUUCUUUUAAGGGGGAAGAGCAGAAGACGGUACCCAUUGAAAUAGCCACGGCAAACUACGUGCCAGCAGGCGAAGUAAUACGUAGGGAGCGAGGGUUGUCCGGAUAUACUGGGUGUAAAGGGAGCGUAGGCGGGAAUGCAAGUUGGAUGUAAAAACUCGCGGCUCAACCGAUAGUCGCAGUUAAAACUGCAGCUCUUGAGUGAAGUAGAGGCAGGCGGAAUGCCUAGUGUAGCGGUGAAAUGCGUAGAUAUUAGGAGGAACACCAGUGGCGAAGGCGGCCUGCUGGGCUUUUACUGACGCUGAGGCACGAAAGUGUGGGGAGCAAACAGGAUUAGAUACCCCAGUAGUC
rnacentral:rRNA from 1 species